AAGAAACGAGGAGGGUUGUCUUGGAAUGUGCUAGAAAUGACAGCCAAAUCUCCCUUAAAUUGCACAUUUUCCUCUGAAAAUACUUACAAUUUUUUUUUUUUUAUUACUGAAAAGACUCCUCCCAUGGUUUUUAAGUGCAAAAAAUUAGCCAAAAUCGGUCCGGAGUGGGGAUGGAGAGGGAGUAAAAAAAAAAUGAACUUAUGUGGGCUUCCUGAUCCGAAACUCCUCUCCUCACCUCCUAGGAAAAAUUUUCGUCGCAAAUUUCUUUACAAUCGUAAUCUAUGCCAUUUGAAAGGUAUUUAUAUAAGAUUUCCUCAAAACAUAGCUAUUUUCCUGAAAGUUAUGAGGGGAAUAAAUCGGAUCGUGUUAAUUUUCCGAAAGUCUUCUCCGCACACGCUGGUUCGUUUGCGCAAAUUUUGGUUUUCAGAUUCGUUUACAACACAUUUUUUUACAGCUAUUACACUUGUUUUUCUUGUUUGUUUGUUAUUUAUUUAUUUUUUUUGUGGCCAGGUGUUAAACUAGAUAUUAACCAAUUUCAUUAAAAGAUAUCUAUUUUCCUGAAAGUUGUGAGGGAAAAAAAGUCGGAUCAUGUGAAUUUUCCGAAAUCCCUCUCGGAACAAUUCUUUCCCAAAAAUCCCUAUAUACUCUGAAUCCACAGCAUCUAAGCGGUGUUUAUUGAAAAUUUCAUUGAAAAGUAUCCAUUUAUCUGGAAGUUGUGAGGCAACAAAGUCGGGGUGGGGUACACAUCUGUAGUUAUGCCUAAAUUCGUUUAUCGAAUAUUAUACGAGACUUCAUUCAGUUGAAUCUCUCAGAGACCUGUUCCAUGUACCACACACAGCAGAAGCAGCAAUUCCAGCGACUCCAUCAACAGCUUCGUCCAGCCAAGAUUACCACCGCUGUCGCCACAUCAGCAACACGAUUCUACGACUACUAACCAGCAUCAAUCGCCACCAGCGUCAACACGACUUUCUAUGUACACCAAUCCAAACCACCGCGGCACAUCUCUCUCUCUCUUCGAUUCUGUUAGGUGUUUCAUAUUCACCACGAUUAAUAAUAGACAAGAGAAUUCAGCCAGCGAUGAACGUCUGUCCUCAAGAGCCCGGCAUGGAAGCCAAUAUCACAACUAGUGAUCAGCUCUGCCACACACAGCCUCAACUUCUUUCACGUACAGACUCUUCCAAUUGUGUACUCAAGAACUGGUAUAAAUGCUCACGUGUUACUGACUCCCUUUCUAUCUGCUGUAAUAUCUCACAUACACAUACAUGUAUCACUCACAUACACUCUUUUCUUUGUACGACGGCCUGUCUUUUAUUAUGUUUUUAUAUGUCGCAUUCACACUCACACACAGACAUACAUCUUUAAUGUCACAAUAAAUAAUUCUGUUAUACAUCUUC